rnacentral:pre_miRNA from 1 species
GAGGUACUCCCUCCAUUCCAAAUUACUCAUCGCAGAAAUGGAUGUAUCUAGAACUAAAAUACAUAUAGAUACAUCCAUACCUGCGACAAGUAAUUCAGAAUGGAGGGAGUACAUU